CGGUCCAGACUCCUACGGGAGGCAGCAGUAGGGAGUAUUUGGCAAUGGGGGAAACCCUGACCGAGCAACGCCGCGUGUGCGAUGGAGUCCCUCAGGGACGUGAAGCACUGUGGGGGGCCGCCAAACGGGCGGGCAGGAAAUGGCCCGUCCCCGAGGAGCCCCCUAGAAAGCGACUGCUAACCACGUGCCAGCAGCAGCGGUAAUACGUGGGUCGCAAGCGUUAUCCGGAAUCAUUGGGCGUAAAGAGUGAGCAGGCGGUCCGGGAAGUCCGCGGUGAAAUGCGGGGGCUCAACCCCCGCAGGCCGCGGAUACUUCCGGUCUGGGGUGCGGGAGAGGCGGACGGAACUCCGCGUGUAGCGGUGAAAUGCACUGAUACGCGGAAGAACACCGGUGGCGAAGGCGGUCCGCCAGACCGAUACCGACGCUCAGUCACGAAAGCGUGGGGAGCAAAUAGGAUUAGAUACCCUAGUAGUCCACGCCGUAAACGAUGGGGGCCAGGGCGCGGGGUCGACCCGCGUCCGAAGCAAACGCAUUAAGCCCCCCGCCUGGGUACUACGUUCGCAAGAAUAAAACUUAAAGGAAUUGGCGGGUGCCCGCACAAGCAGUGGAGCAUGCGGUUCAAUUCGUGGCUACACGUAGAACCUUACCAGGGUUUGACAUGCCGGCAAAGGCCCCGGAGACGGGGAGAUAGCUAUGCCGGACAAAGGUGGUGCAUGGCUGUCGUCAGCUCGUGUCGUGAGAUGUUAGGUCAAGUCCUCCAACGAGCGCGACCCCCGCCGCCAGUUGCCAUCAUCGAGUUGGGCACUCUGGCGGGACCGCCGGCGACAAGCCGGAGGAAGGCGGGGAUGACGUCAAGUCAUCAUGCCCCUUAUGCCCUGGGCCACACGCGUGCUACAAUGGCCGGCACAGUGGGAAGCGACGCCGCGAGGCGGAGCGGAUCCCAAAAGCCGGUCCCAGUACGGACCGGGGGCUGCAACCCGCCCCCGCGAAGCUGGAAUUGCUAGUAAUCGCGGAUCAGCCAAGCCGCGGUGAAUGCGUUCUCGGGCAUUGCACACACUGCCCGUCACACCAUGAAAGCCUGCAACGCUCUAAGUCGCCAGCCCGACCCGCGAGGGGGGGCGGCGCCCAAGGCGGGGCCGGUGAUUGGGGUUAAGUCGAAACAAGGUAUCCCUACGAGAACGUGGGGAUG
rnacentral:rRNA from 1 species